GGCCCAGUGGCGGAUGGUCCGCGUCUGCGAUACUUAUCCUCUGAAGUUGAAGCGGAGGACGCUCGUUCGAAUCGAGCCUGGGCCA